UCCUUAUUUAGUUGUUUUGUAAUUUCAUGCAAGUUUAUAUAUGCAGCUACCUCAUGGCACUGCUAUUUCUUUUCCUGCCGAGAUAUCUAGGCCUUAUAAAUUUACAGAUGCCUCUCACCCCUUUGAAUCUAUACAGUAUAUGUUGUUUCCCACAGUGUUUAUAUAUAUUAUGAUGUAUUGUUAAGCUUACCAAGCAUUAUCAAUACUUCCCUAGUUUUAUACUUCCCUAGUUUUACACCUUCCCCUUUGUUAAGCUCAAUAACCUGUGUCAGUGUAUUAAUGAAGGAAGGAGUUUAGCUGCGUGUCAAGCUACACACUACCCCAGGGUAACACGUAGUGAGGACAGAACAGUAAAACAACAGCUACCAAGCAGGUAGAUGAACUGCAACGUACUGCGUGUGCAGUGAAACAAAACUGUACAGCAGGCAAAGCAAAGUCACAGUGCAAGCACAGGCAAGAAUCCAGGAUAGCGAUUCAGACACAGCCAUUGCUAUCAAAUCAUUGCAGCACAGAGAAGCCACAACAGCCAAAGCAGGCAAAGGCUUAUCCAGUGUUGCAUAAUGUCACAGAAAAAGACAUCUUCAUUAAUAACCAGAUCCCAAGUUUCGGGCUCCUCUCAAAGCUCAUCUGUUACUAAUGCUGCCGCCAUUGCCCACGCAAAAGCAGAAGUGGCAAAGGCCAGCGAGAAAUAAAAUAGAGCGAGAAAGCCAAGAAGCAGAAACAAAAGUAAAAAGAGCAUUUCUAAGAAGCAAAAAGGAAAAUAGAGAGCAAACGUCUAGAUGCAGGAAGGAAAAUAGAGAGUGAGCGAGUUGAAGCUGAGGCAAGGAUGAAGAGCGCAUGCCUAGAAGCAUUUCUAGAAAUGCUCACCUUAAAGAAGGAAGCAGCAGCAGCCAUAGCAGAAGCAAAAGCUUUAGAGACAAUUAUAUACACUACUAGUGAAAGACACAACAGGAUGCCCGAUCUAGAUAUUGAGUCCAAAGCACACCUAAGAAUAUGUCCACCAGAACUCCAAGCAGGGUACAGACCCUCCUGCAGUGCAAGAACUAGACCAACGUCCUGCUGACACGCUGAACCUAGGAUGCUAUACACGUCCACAAACCAGCGACAAGUCACAAUUGCAUCAGAGAGACAACGCUGAUAAAGUGACCCUGCAUACAGCACCCACACCUAGGAUUGACCCUGCUUAAAGGAAAACCUCCAGACAGUUUCUUCUUACAGGUAAGCUGACAUCCCCCAUGAGGAGACAAAGAUCAAAGACCCUGGUAAGCAAUGUCCCCUACACCGGAAGCCCCACCCCCUUCUGAAAUGCAGAGCCUUCAGAGAAAAGCCCAUAGUGGACCACAAAGCCAUUUUAAAGGAAAACAACAUCUGCUACAAGUGCUGCUCGUCUACAUAUCAUCUUGCCAAGGACUGUAAGGGACACUUGGUGCUAUAGCCAAACUCCAGCUCACAGUGGGAAAAAAAACAGUUUCCAUCUCCAUCUGAGUACAAGAAACCUGGACUAGAUACAUGGCCCGGAACCAUGCUGACAGACACCUGCGGUAAAUUUGAACUACAUCCAUGACUUCCCAGGAAUGCGGAGAAGACGGAGCGGUGCAGCAGCCGAAUGCUAUCAGUAGCAGUUCCUGGUCUCUUUAUGCCCCGGUUCUUCUGUGCCGGAAUGCGAUUGGCUGGAAGAAAGGUCAUAGUUCACACUGCAGCCUCUGCAUCAUAUUCUCGAACAGCCGAACUGGGGCAUUACCUUUGGAUAGAAGAAAGAAGGCAAAAAAAAAUCAUAGUGAACUAUCAGAAGAUUUUAGUUUAGUUUUCAGGUGAGUUUCAUCUGUACAGUUGUGGUGCAGUUUCUAGCCGAUGUAACAAGAUCAUACGAAGAGGAGCAAGAUAGCUAUUAAGGAGGGAAAAAAUGUAAUAAACAGUCAUAAAAGAACAGAAAGAUUGAGAUUUAAAAGCACAGUUGAAUAUUAAAGUAAAGUGGAAGUAAGUGGGUAAAAUUUAAAAAGGGGAAAAUAAGUAGGGAUGUAGCGAACUGCCGAUUUGGUGUUCGCGAACGCCGUUCGCGAACACCGGCA